UACAGGGGGGGCAAGCGUUGUUCGGAAUUACUGGGCGUAAAGGGUCUGUAGGUGGCCAACUAAGUCAGACGUGAAAUCCCUCAGCUUAACUGGGGAACUGCGUCUGAUACUGGAUGGCUCGAGUGUGGGAGAGGAAUGCGGAAUUCCAGGUGUAGCGGUGAAAUGCGUAGAUAUCUGGAGGAACACCAAUGGCGAAGGCAGCUCGCUGGAACGGUACUGACGCUGAGGCGCGAAAGCGUGGGGAGCGAACAGG
rnacentral:rRNA from 1 species